rnacentral:rRNA from 1 species
GAUGAACGCUGGCGGCGUGCCUAAUACAUGCAAGUCGAGCGAAAAGACGAGGAGCUUGCUCCUCUGACGUUAGCGGCGGACGGGUGAGUAACACGUGGAUAAACUACCUAUAAGACUGGGAUAAAUUCGGGAAACCGGAGCUAAUACCGGAUAAUAUAUUGAACCGCAUGGUUCAAUAGUGAAAGACGGUUUUGCUGUCACUUAUAGAUGGAUUCGCGCCGCAUUAGCUAGUUGGUAAGGUAACGGCUUACCAAGGCAACGAUGCGUAGCCGACCUGAGAGGAUGAUCGGCCACACUGGGACUGAGACACGGUCCAGACUCCUACGGGAGGCAGCAGUAGGGAAUCUUCCGCAAUGGGCGAAAGCCUGACGGAGCAACGCCGCGUGAGGGAUGAAGGUCUUCGGAUCGUAAAACGCUGUUGUUAGGGAAGAACAAGUUUUUAAGUAACUAUGCACGUCUUGACGGUACCGUAUCAGAAAGCCACGGCUAACUACGUG